AUUGAACGCUAACGGCAUGCUUAACACAUGCAAGUCGAACGGCAGCACGGUCGUAGCAAUACGAUGGGUGGCGAGUGGCGGACGGGUGAGUAAUAUAUAGGAAUCUGCCUUGUAGUGGGGGAUAACCCGGGGAAACUCGGGCUAAUACCGCAUAAUCUUUACGAAGCAAAGUGGGGGAUCGUCAGACCUUACGCUAUAAGAUGAGCCUAUAUUGGAUUAGCUAGUUGGUGGGGUAAAGGCCUACCAAGGCAACGAUCCAUAGCUGGUCUGAGAGGAUGAGCAGCCACACUGGGAUGGAGACACGGCCCAGACACCCACAGGAGACAGCAGUGGGGAAUAUUGGACAAGGGGCGAAAGCCGGAUCCAGCAAUGCCGUGUGUGUGAAGAAGGCCUUAGGGUUGUCAAGCACUUUUAGUGGAGAAGAAAGGCUCAUGGGUAAUAUCCAUGAGUGCUGACGUUAUCCACAGAAAAAGCACUGGCUAACUCUGUGCCAGCCGCCGCGGUAA
rnacentral:rRNA from 1 species